CAUCCUGCCAAAUUCCAGCUGCGCUAAUUGUAUUGUGUUCACAGAGCUCACAAGCUAUCAGAAAGUUGUAUGGCAACCACCUCCGGCGCCAAAUAGAACUGGCAGACAUAGACAUUCAGUACAAGAAGAAAAAGAUGGAAAAUCUUGCACUGGAGUUCGAAAUAAAAAGAGGACAAUUAGGAAACUGGACCUUGAAAUAAAAAAACUUGAGAGGGAGCUCCAAGAAGAUGACACAGCUCAAAAUAAAAAUUUGGUAUAUUCUCGUAAAGUCAAGUGAGC
ensembl:lncRNA